rnacentral:rRNA from 1 species
UACGGGGGGGGCAAGCGUUGUUCGGAAUUACUGGGCGUAAAGGGCUCGUAGGCGGCCAACUAAGUCAGACGUGAAAUCCCUCGGCUUAACCUGGGAACUGCGUCGGAUACUGGAUGGCUUGAAUUCGGGAGAGGGAUGCAGAAUUCCAGGUGUAGCGGUGAAAUGCGUAGAUAUCUGGAGGAAUACCAGUAGCGAAGGCGGCACUCUGGGCCGGUACUGACGCUGAGGAGCGAAAGCGUGGGGAGCGAACAGG